CUGAAGGAAAGAAAGAGAGGAGCACCGAGAGAGAGAGAGAGAGAGAGAGAGCUGGACAAUGAAGAAAAGGGAAGAAGAAAUUGAAGAACUAAGUAGAAUAACAAAGGAAGGAAAGGAAACUUAAGAAUUUCAGCCAAUUAAAGCUUAAGGUCGCUUGCACGAAAAGUAUCAUCCGGCCAAGCACUGUGAUCAGGUGCGUGACCAAGCCUAGAACUUCUGCCUAGACUCUGUCUUGUCAACCAACCCAUAUGCCUCCCGUGGAGGUUUCGGAUAUGUCAAAUGGUUAAAGCCAUGUGAUUAAAGUUCAAGUUUCGUUCAUUCUAUAUUUAGGGUUAGGUCCCUUUUUGUCUAAUCUGUAUAUAUGAUGACACAACAAUGAUGUAAUAAUAUAUGUAUACAAAAAGUUUAAAUAUUUUCUGUCUCA